rnacentral:rRNA from 1 species
GACGAACGCUGGCGGCGUGCUUAACACAUGCAAGUCGAACGAGUGGCGAACGGGUGAGUAAUACGUGGGUAACCUGCCCUCGUUUUUGGAUAAGCCUUGGAAACGGGGUCUACUACCUAAUAAAGGGGGAUUGGCUCGCGGCCUAUCAGCGGGUUGGUGGGGUGAUGGCCUACCAAGGCGGUGACGGGUGGCCGGCCUGAGAGGGGGACCGGCCACAUUGGGACUGAGACACGGUCCAGACUCCUACGGGAGGCAGCAGUGGGGAAUAUUGCACAAUGGGCGCAAGCCUGAUGCAGCCAUGCCGCGUGUAUGAAGAAGGCCUUCGGGUUGUAAAGUACUUUCAGCGAGGAGGCGUUACUCGCAGAAGAAGCACCGGCUAACUCCGUGCCAGCAGCCGCGGUAAUUC